rnacentral:rRNA from 1 species
AUGACUGGAUGCCGACGAUACUACCGUCUAGACCUGGACGCUUCCGUGAGCGAGCGGCCCGCAUCCCCCCCACCCCCACCACGAGCCGUCAGCCCGCAUGUCCGCUCGCACACCAGGCGCCGCUCCCCCGCUCCCCCGCUCCAGCCGCCUCUCCUCCGCUCCCCUCCCCUCUCACGAACCCUAGCGCCGCCACACCCCGCGCAGCAGCCACAUCCCUUCCCGCUCUCCGCUCGCCGCGCAGCCGCCGCAUCCCUGCCCGCUCUCCACCCACCUCGGUCGCCCCCUCCCACACCUCUCCUCUGCCCCGAGACCCCCAGCCACCCAACCCCAACUCCGGCGGUCUCCUCUCCCUCCAGCGCCGCCGCUCUACCCUCUUCCGUGACCCUCACCUUCCUCACUCUUCAAAGGAAGGGAUGGGAAGGGAAGGGGAGGGGAGGCCCUAGAUCGAGCGGAGCGACACAGCGGCACCGGCACGGGUGCGCCGUCGUCUACCUGGUCCUCGAACCGGCCAUUCCCCUACUAACCAUGGCCUCCCCCCCUCUCUCUCUGUAUCUCCCACACGGCGGCGCGGUGCAGCCGGCGGCGAUGGCUUUCUGGCAGGCACGCCACUUCCUGUUUUGCGGCGUGUGCGGCACCCUCCUCGACUUCAACUCCCAAGAAUCCUUGCCCUCAGCAUUCUUAGAAGGUCGUCUCAUAAUUUCUGUGAUUCUUCCCUCUAUAGGUGGCUUAAAAUGGAGGCUUGCAUGCCCAAGGCAGGUGGUUAAGGCCCUCUUUAGUUGGUGUGGCAGUGGUGAGUGGAAUGCACGAUGCAGCAGCCUGGAGAAGUGGCCAACACGGCUUAGGAAGCGCCCCACCUGUGAAGCGAUACAUCUGAUGCCAACAUACCAAGCCUAUGCAUUUACAUUUCUGCUGUCAAAGAAACACGUUCUUAAGGGACUUGAACUCAUGGACAAGGCAUCAUCCUUAUUGCAAGAUAUAAUCCUGGCCGGCGGAAGUACAGUGACACAAAGAACCUGGGCGCCGUCUGCUUCCUGCAUCGGCAAGCAAGCGGCGGAGCUUCCAAUGGGCAGAAAUGCGUGCAUGUUGGACUUAUGA